rnacentral:rRNA from 1 species
GUCCACGCCGUAAACGAUGCGUGUUCGCUGUCGGGCCCGCUACAGGGUUCGGUGGCUUAGCUAACGCGGUAAACACGCCGCCUGGGGAGUACGGCCGCAAGGUUAAAACUCAAAGGAAUUGACGGGGACCCGCACAAGUGGUGGAGCAUGUCCAUUAAUUCGAAGAUACGCGAAGAACCUUACCUAGCCUUGACAUCCUGGUAGAGAUUCCCCGAAAAGGGAGUCGCAUUUAGUUGGACCAGAGACAGGUGUUGCAUGGCUGUCGU